CUUGGAGGACCUCAGUGUGGAAGUGAUAUUUGAAAAAAACUCUGAUGAAGCAGAAGAUGCAGAUGGAAUGCACCAUAAAAAAUAUGGGCAGCAAAUGAAUCCUAGUCUGAGGGAGCAGCUAGACCCUGGCGAGUUCAGAGACCCUGAAAGUCUGCAAUGCUUGAAGAGCAGCAAGGAGGUCGGUGUGACCAGAGUAAGCAAGUGGGAGACUGGAAACAGAAGAGUCUGAGUGCCUGUCAGUGCAGUGAUGUCUCCUAGAAAUGUCAGGAGGAUCAUAAUCACCUUGUGGUUCAUAUGAAACAUGCAUUUUGUUCCAGCCAAUGGGUUGUGAGAAGUGAGGAAGGAAAAAUGCAACUUUGUAUCCUAUGUUGGAUCUUGGAUUGAAAGAACACUAAUGAAAAACCUAGUGAAAUUCAAAUAAAGUCUGUGAUUUAAAAAGGAAAGGAAUCCCUCCCAGUGCUGCAUCACUUGACCGUGGGCUCCAGAUACCACAAGGCUGCGAUCAACGUGGCGUCCAGGCUGCAUUCCCACAUUGAGACGCAACCAGGGAAAGCUCCUGUAUCAAUACCUCAGAAUAUGACUGCAUUUGGAGAUAAAGAGAAAAUUAAGUUAAAACGAUGAGAUCCUUAGAGUGGGCCCAAAUCCAACAGAACUGGCGUCCUUCCAAGAAGAGGAAUUAGGAGGCACAGAUCUUGUGAAGACACAGGAAGAAGACAACCAUCUACCAGCCAAGGAGAGAGGACCCAGAAGAAACCAACUCUGCCAAAACCUUGACCUUCUGGAACCCAGCAUUAUGGGGUCUCUACCUGGCCGGCGCCACGUUGCCUGCCUUUUUACUGCACACAUGACAACAAAGAAAAGGGA
rnacentral:lncRNA from 1 species